rnacentral:rRNA from 1 species
GACGAACGCUGGCGGCGUGCUUAACACGUGCAAGUCGAACGGAAAGGCCCUGCUUUUGUGGGGUGCUCGAGUGGUGAACGGGUGAGUAACACGUGAGUAACCUGCCCUUGACUUUGGGAUAACUUCAGGAAACUGGGGCUAAUACCGGAUAGGAGCUCCUGCUGCAUGGUGGGGGUUGGAAAGUUUCGGCGGUUGGGGAUGGACUCGCGGCUUAUCAGCUUGUUGGUGGGGUAGUGGCUUACCAAGGCUUUGACGGGUAGCCGGCCUGAGAGGGUGACCGGCCACAUUGGGACUGAGAUACGGCCCAGACUCCUACGGGAGGCAGCAGUGGGGAAUAUUGCACAAUGGGCGGAAGCCUGAUGCAGCAACGCCGCGUGCGGGAUGAAGGCCUUCGGGUUGUAAACCGCUUUCGCCUGUGACGAAGCGUGAGUGACGGUAAUGGGUAAAGAAGCACCGGCUAACUACGUG